rnacentral:rRNA from 1 species
AUUGAACGCUGGCGGCAUGCCUAACACAUGCAAGUCGAGCGGAGCGGCGGACGGGUGGGUAAUGCCUAGGAAUCUGCCUGGUAUUGGGGGAUGACGUCCGUAAACGGGCGCUAAUCCCGCAUACUAUCAGAUGAGACUAGGUCGGAUUAGCUAGUUGGUGGGGUAAAGGCCUACCAAGGCGACGAUCCGUAACUGGUCUGAGAGGAUGAUCAGUCACACUGGAACUGAGACACGGUCCAGACUCCUACGGGAGGCAGCAGUGGGGAAUAUUGGACAAUGGGCGAAAGCCUGAUCCAGCCAGGCCGCGUGUGUGAAGAAGGUCUUCGGAUUGUAAAGCACUUUAAGUUGGGAGGCGGUACCAACAGAAUAAGCACCGGCUAACUUCGUGCCAGCCGCCGCGGUAAUUC